UACAGAGGGUGCGAGCGUUGUCCGGAAUCACUGGGCGUAAAGGGCGCGUAGGCGGCCUGAUAAGUCGGGGGUGAAAUCCUGUGGCUUAACUGCAGGGCUGCCUCCUAGACUGUUAGGCUCGAGCACGGUAGAGGCAGAUGGAAUUCCCGGUGUAGCGGUGGAAUGCGUAGAGAUCGGGAAGAACAUCGGUGGCGAAGGCGGUCUGCUGGGCCGUUGCUGACGCUGAGGAGCGAAAGCGUGGGGAGCAAACAGG
rnacentral:rRNA from 1 species